rnacentral:tRNA from 1 species
AUUUAUGUAGUUAAAAUUAUAAUAUGAUUUUGAAGCAAUCAAGGUAGAAAAGUUUUCUUAUAAAUA